GACGGGGGGGGCAAGUGUUCUUCGGAAUGACUGGGCGUAAAGGGCGCGUAGGCGGUUCGUACAGUCAGACGUGAAAUUCCUGGGCUCAACCUGGGGGCUGCGUUUGAUACGUGCGGACUUGAGUGCGGAAGAGGGUCGUGGAAUUCCCAGUGUAGAGGUGAAAUUCGUAGAUAUUGGGAAGAACACCGGUGGCGAAGGCGGCGACCUGGUCCGAUACUGACGCUGAGGCGCGAAAGCGUGGGGAGCAAACAGG
rnacentral:rRNA from 1 species